GUUGCCCCGGGGACUCUUUUUCAUGCGCACCCUGGGAGUGGAGACGGAAAGGCGCAGGUAAGUGUUCACAAUAUUCACGUCAGUACUAAUUUUAGACUGCACUACUUCCACCUUUUACUCAAGCACACAAAUCUGCUAAAAACCCUCAUCCACAUCGUAUGCACUGUGUUACAGGUGGUGCGGCUAAAUGAACCCCCCGGCUACCGGACGUCCCCGGAAAACACCUAUACAGAUACACACACACACACACACACACACACACACACACACACACACACACACACACACACACACCAUUAACCAAAUCUGAAUAAAGGUAUUUUAACUGAAAUACCUCUGUGGCUCAUCAUUUGAUAAUCAUGUGGUGCUUUUAAUUUAACAACCCUAAAUGUUGUGUCUACCUGCAAUAUAUAUAUUAACUCUGGUUAGCUGCCUCAAACCUCAGCUACUCGCUGCAGUAGUAACGGAGACAACAGAGGCAUCCGUUACGAAAUAAUACGGUUUAAUACGGUCUAAGCAAUGUGGUUCUGGAUAUUAUCCCAGUCUCGUGUGGCCUAGACUUGAUAAAAAGCAG